UACGUAGGGUGCGAGCGUUGUCCGGAUUUAUUGGGCGUAAAGAGCUUGUAGGCGGUCUGUCGCGUCUGCUGUGAAAAUCCGGGGCUCAACCCCGGACUUGCAGUGGGUACGGGCAGACUAGAGUGUGGUAGGGGAGACUGGAAUUCCUGGUGUAGCGGUGAAAUGCGCAGAUAUCAGGAGGAACACCGAUGGCGAAGGCAGGUCUCUGGGCCACUACUGACGCUGAGAAGCGAAAGCAUGGGGAGCGAACAGG
rnacentral:rRNA from 1 species